AAAAUAUUAUUCAAUGUUUGAGUUCUUACUUAAGAAAUUUAGGUAUAUCAAAAUAACUAAUAAUUUUCCCCUUAGAUAUGUUUCUCUUCCUUUGUAAUCAAUCAAAAAGACAUAGACAAUAAAAAAGGAAAUAAUGAGAAAGAAACAAAAAAAACAUUGAUUAUGCCAAAAGGAAGAAAAGAUACAAACAACAUUAAAAAAUGGCU
rnacentral:lncRNA from 1 species